GUCUUUUGUCUUAUUCGACGUCGACAUUGUUUGAAGGUUCCUGAUCAUCGCCGUAUUGAUUCGCCCUUUUCGUUCAUGAUCGAAGGUCUUUUUGAGGCCAUUCAAAUUUGAUGCUUUCUCCCGGUGUUCGAGCUCGGGGCCCGAACUUCUCGUUACUUUGAGGAAGUCUAUUUUCUCCGAUUAGUGUUGGGUUCCCCCUUAGAGAUCGAGGAUUAUUGAUAAGAGUUCUCUUCCUCAUUAAGAUGAGGUCCCUUGUGUCUUAGAUAUAGUUCAUUUUUCUCUUAUCUCUGGUGUAGCUCAUCGCUUUCUCUUUUUCUCUCUCUUUUUUUUUUCAUGUUUGGGUGAGGAUUUUUUCUCUGCUCCUAACGGGGUUGUAGGGGUAUAGAGGAGCCAUUGAGAAAGCUUUUCCCCUCAUCUGGUCUUAAACGAUCAGGUCUUCAUUUGUGUCAGGACGAGGUUCUCCUCC
rnacentral:lncRNA from 1 species